ACUGUUUGAACUUUCAUUCUUUCGCUCAUGCGCAGACAGAAUGCGCAUCUGCUUGAUUGGUUUCGUAAUUUGCGGGCUCAUUGAAAGGCUUUGAUUCCAAGAUGGCGGAACACAACGAACUACGAGCGUUCAGAGUUAGUAAAAACUCUGGAGCGGCUAAAUGCAGGAAUGGCUCCGACCUGUCAUUGGACGAUAAAAAAUAGUAUUUAGUUGAGCUGAAGUUUGAAUUCUCCGCUGCCUGUGACAUGUUGUUUCUGGCGACGAAUAAUCCCUUCGUCUGGAACAGGUAAACUAUUUCAAGCUACAACUGCAUUGAUCAGAAACAAAAGAUAUGAAACAGAUGUUUGAGACUGUACAUGCUGAUGUUCUUUAACUUCCAGAAAGAUUUGAAGUAAACUAAUAAAUGCCAUAAAUUAGAUGGUAUAAUGGAAUUUCUCCUAGAAUCACAAAGGUUAAAUUUGAACACUGCUCCUCUUUUAGGGAAGAUCCAAAGAAGUUGUAGAAUUCUUAACCAAAUGAUUUGAAAACCUAUUUUGCAUGCAUCAGUCAGAUAAUCCUGCUACUUCUAAAAGCAAAGUGUAAAUGUCUUAUUUUCAUCCACUUAACCAGUGUUAAAAAUGGCUUGUUACCCUCUUGCCCCCUAAUAGUUGCACUUAA